CCCGCUGAACUUAAGCAUAUCAAUAAGCGGAGGAAAAGAAACUAACAAGGAUUCCCCUAGUAACGGCGAGUGAAGCGGGAAAAGCUCAAAUUUAAAAUCUGGUAGUCUUUGGCUGCCCGAGUUGUAAUCUAGAGAAGUGUUUUCCGCGCUGGACUGUGUACAAGUUUCCUGGAUAUGGAACAUCAUAGAGGGUGAGAAUCCCGUCCUUGACACAGACUCCCAGUGCUUUGUGAUGCGCUCUCAACGAGUCGAGUUGUUUGGGAUUGCAGCUCAAAAUGGGAGGUAAAUUCCUUCUAAAGCUAAAUAUUGGCGAGAGACCGAUAGCGAACAAGUACCGUGAGGGAAAGAUGAAAAGCACUCUGGAAAGAGAGUUAAACAGUACGUGAAAUUGUUAAAAGGGAAACGAUUGAAGUCAGUCGCGUCUACUUGGACUCAGCCUUACUUUGGUUUGGUGCAUUUCCUUGUGGACGGGCCAGUGUCCAUGUCGAUUGCUGGAAAAGGUUCAGAGGAAUGUGACUCUUUUAGAGUGUUAUAGCCUCGGUUCAUAUACAGUGGUUGAUAUGGAGUGGUACAGCAUGCUUCGGUGGUGCUUGUGCUGGCAUAAUGGCUUUAAACGACCCGUCUUGAAACACGG
rnacentral:rRNA from 1 species